rnacentral:rRNA from 1 species
UGCUAAGGUAGCAUAAUCAUUUGCCCUAUAAUUGAGGGCUAGUAUGAAAGGCAAGACGAAGGCCAGACUGUCUCUAAAAUAAAUAAAAAAUUAUGCUUUAAGUGAAAACACUUAAAUAUAAAUAGAGGACAAGAAGACCCUAUAGAGCUUUAUUUAAGGAAAAAAUCGCAUAAAUUUUACAAAAAUCUUCUAUUUUUUCUAAGAAUUUGGUUGGGGCGACCAAGGAACACAAAGCUUCCUUAACUCUUAAGGAAUAUUUUCCUCCCUUUUGAUCCAAUACUAUUGAGCAACAGACAAAGCUACCUUAGGGAUAACAGCGUUAUC